GGGUUGUGAGGUUAAGCGACUAAGCGUACACGGUGGAUGCCCUGGCAGUCAGAGGCGAUGAAGGACGUGCUAAUCUGCGAAAAGCGUCGGUAAGGUGAUAUGAACCGUUAUAACCGGCGAUGUCCGAAUGGGGAAACCCAGUGCAAUUCGUUGCACUAUCGUUAACUGAAUACAUAGGUUAACGAGGCGAACCGGGGGAACUGAAACAUCUAAGUACCCCGAGGAAAAGAAAUCAACCGAGAUUCCCCCAGUAGCGGCGAGCGAACGGGGAGCAGCCCAGAGUCUGAAUCAGCUUGUGUGUUAGUGGAACGGUCUGGAAAGUCCGACGGUACAGGGUGAUAGUCCCGUACACCAAAAUGCACAGGUUGUGAACUCGAAGAGUAGGGCGGGACACGUGGUAUCCUGUCUGAAUAUGGGGGGACCAUCCUCCAAGGCUAAAUACUCCUGACUGACCGAUAGUGAACCAGUACCGUGAGGGAAAGGCGAAAAGAACCCCGGCGAGGGGAGUGAAAAAGAACCUGAAACCGUGUACGUACAAGCAGUGGGAGCACCUUUAUGGUGUGACUGCGUACCUUUUGUAUAAUGGGUCAGCGACUUAUAUUCUGUAGCAAGGUUAACCGUAUAGGGGAGCCGCAGGGAAACCGAGUCUUAACUGGGCGUUAAGUUGCAGGGUAUAGACCCGAAACCCGGUGAUCUAGCCAUGGGCAGGUUGAAGGUUGGGUAACACUAACUGGAGGACCGAACCGACUAAUGUUGAAAAAUUAGCGGAUGACUUGUGGCUGGGGGUGAAAGGCCAAUCAAACCGGGAGAUAGCUGGUUCUCCCCGAAAGCUAUUUAGGUAGCGCCUCGUGAACUCAUCUUCGGGGGUAGAGCACUGUUUCGGCUAGGGGGUCAUCCCGACUUACCAACCCGAUGCAAACUACGAAUACCGAAGAAUGUUAUCACGGGAGACACACGGCGGGUGCUAACGUCCGUCGUGAAGAGGGAAACAACCCAGACCGCCAGCUAAGGUCCCAAAGUCAUGGUUAAGUGGGAAACGAUGUGGGAAGGCACAGACAGCCAGGAUGUUGGCUUAGAAGCAGCCAUCAUUUAAAGAAAGCGUAAUAGCUCACUGGUCGAGUCGGCCUGCGCGGAAGAUGUAACGGGGCUAAACCAUGCACCGAAGCUGCGGCAGCGACACGAUGUGUUGUUGGGUAGGGGAGCGUUCUGUAAGCCUGCGAAGGUGACCUGUGAGGGUUGCUGGAGGUAUCAGAAGUGCGAAUGCUGACAUAAGUAACGAUAAAGCGGGUGAAAAGCCCGCUCGCCGGAAGACCAAGGGUUCCUGUCCAACGUUAAUCGGGGCAGGGUGAGUCGACCCCUAAGGCGAGGCCGAAAGGCGUAGUCGAUGGGAAACAGGUUAAUAUUCCUGUACUUGGUGUUACUGCGAAGGGGGGACGGAGAAGGCUAUGUUAGCCGGGCGACGGUUGUCCCGGUUUAAGCAUGUAGGCUGAUUAUCCAGGCAAAUCCGGAUAAUCAAGGCUGAGGUGUGAUGACGAGGCACUACGGUGCUGAAGUAACAAAUGCCCUGCUUCCAGGAAAAGCCUCUAAGCAUCAGGUAACAUCAAAUCGUACCCCAAACCGACACAGGUGGUCAGGUAGAGAAUACCAAGGCGCUUGAGAGAACUCGGGUGAAGGAACUAGGCAAAAUGGUGCCGUAACUUCGGGAGAAGGCACGCUGGUGUGUAGGUGAAGUCCCUGCGGAUGGAGCUGAGACCAGUCGAAGAUACCAGCUGGCUGCAACUGUUUAUUAAAAACACAGCACUGUGCAAACACGAAAGUGGACGUAUACGGUGUGACGCCUGCCCGGUGCCGGAAGGUUAAUUGAUGGGGUUAUCCGUAAGGAGAAGCUCUUGAUCGAAGCCCCGGUAAACGGCGGCCGUAACUAUAACGGUCCUAAGGUAGCGAAAUUCCUUGUCGGGUAAGUUCCGACCUGCACGAAUGGCGUAAUGAUGGCCAGGCUGUCUCCACCCGAGACUCAGUGAAAUUGAACUCGCUGUGAAGAUGCAGUGUACCCGCGGCAAGACGGAAAGACCCCGUGAACCUUUACUAUAGCUUGACACUGAACAUUGAGCCUUGAUGUGUAGGAUAGGUGGGAGGCUUUGAAGCGUGGACGCCAGUCUGCGUGGAGCCAACCUUGAAAUACCACCCUUUAAUGUUUGAUGUUCUAACGUUGGCCCCUUAUCGGGGUUGCGGACAGUGUCUGGUGGGUAGUUUGACUGGGGCGGUCUCCUCCCAAAGCGUAACGGAGGAGCACGAAGGUUAGCUAAUCCUGGUCGGACAUCAGGAGGUUAGUGCAAUGGCAUAAGCUAGCUUGACUGCGAGCGUGACGGCGCGAGCAGGUGCGAAAGCAGGUCAUAGUGAUCCGGUGGUUCUGAAUGGAAGGGCCAUCGCUCAACGGAUAAAAGGUACUCCGGGGAUAACAGGCUGAUACCGCCCAAGAGUUCAUAUCGACGGCGGUGUUUGGCACCUCGAUGUCGGCUCAUCACAUCCUGGGGCUGAAGUAGGUCCCAAGGGUAUGGCUGUUCGCCAUUUAAAGUGGUACGCGAGCUGGGUUUAGAACGUCGUGAGACAGUUCGGUCCCUAUCUGCCGUGGGCGCUGGAGAAUUGAGGGGGGCUGCUCCUAGUACGAGAGGACCGGAGUGGACGCAUCACUGGUGUUCGGGUUGUCAUGCCAAUGGCACUGCCCGGUAGCUAAAUGCGGAAGAGAUAAGUGCUGAAAGCAUCUAAGCACGAAACUUGCCCCGAGAUGAGUUCUCCCUGAGACUUUAAGUCUCCUGAAGGAACGUUAAAGACGAUGACGUUGAUAGGCCGGGUGUGUAAGCGCAGCGAUGCGUUGAGCUAACCGGUACUAAUGAACCGUGAGGCUUAACCUUACAACGCCGAAG
rnacentral:rRNA from 1 species